CGGACUGGUGAGUAACGCGUGAGGAACCUGCCUUUCGGAGGGGGACAACAGUUGGAAACGACUGCUAAUACCGCAUGACGUAUCGGGAUCGCAUGGUCUUGAUACCAAAGAUUUUAUCGCCGAAAGAUGGCCUCGCGUCUGAUUAGCUAGUUGGUGGGGUAACGGCCUACCAAGGCGACGAUCAGUAGCCGGCCUGAGAGGGUGGACGGCCACAUUGGGACUGAGACACGGCCCAAACUCCUACGGGAGGCAGCAG
rnacentral:rRNA from 1 species